GACGAACGCUGGCGGCGUGCUUAACACAUGCAAGUCGAACGGAAAGGCCCCUUCGGGGGUACUCGAGUGGCGCACGGGUGCGUAACACGUGAGUAACCUGCCCUUGACUUCGGGAUAACUUCAGGAAACUGGGGCUAAUACCGGAUAGGAAUCCUUGCUGCAUGGUGGGGGUUGGAAAGCUUCUGCGGUUUUGGAUGGACUCUCGGCCUAUCAGCUUGUUGGUGGGGUAGUGGCUUACCAACGCUUUGACGGGUAGCCGGCCUGAGAGGGCGACCGGCCGCAAUGGGGCUGAGAUAAGGCCCAGAAGCCUACGGGGGGCAGCAGUGGGGAAUAAUGCUCAAUGGGCGGAAGCCUGAUGCAACAACGCCGCCGGCGGGAUGACGGACUGCGGGGUGGAAACCGCAUUCAGCAGGUGCGAAGCUGGUGGUGACGGUACCUGCAGAAGAAGCACCGGCUAACUACGUG
rnacentral:rRNA from 1 species